rnacentral:rRNA from 1 species
GAUUAACGCUAGCGGCAGGCAUAAUACAUGCAAGUUGAACGGCAGCACAGGUAGCAAUACUGGGUGGCGAGUGGCGCACGGGUGCGUAACACGUAUGCAACCUACCCUAUACAGGCGAAUAACCUUUAGAAAUGAGGGCUAAUACGCCGUAGUAUUACAGAUGGGCAUCUAUUUGUAAUUAAAGAUUUAUCGGUAUAGGAUGGGCAUGCGUCCCAUUAGUUAGUUGGUAAGGUAACGGCUUACCAAGACGAUGAUGGGUAGGGGAUCUGAGAGGACUUACCCCCACACUGGUACUGAGACACGGACCAGACUCCUACGGGAGGCAGCAGUAAGGAAUAUUGGGCAAUGGCCGCGAGGCUGACCCAGCCAUGCCGCGUGCAGGAAGACGGCCUUAUGGGUUGUAAACUGCUUUUAUACGGGAAUAAUGGAGUGUACGCGUACAUUUAUGCAAGUAUCGUAUGAAUAAGCAUCGGCUAACUCCGUG